rnacentral:lncRNA from 1 species
AUUUUAUUCCUACAUAUUUUUAUAGCUUCCCCAAAGCUGAGAAAAUACCAAAUGAGCCUUCAGACAGAUUUAAUUGAAGAAAAGUUUGUAAAUGAGGUGCUGUUGUUUUCUGAGUCAGUUGCCUUAAAGCACACUCUCUUGUUUGUCCUCUCCAUAGCUGGGUUAAAACAGGAAUCUCCUUUUCCUGGUGUGUUGCCAAAGGCAUUGCUUGGGGGGACUCAUACCAGGGAGGAAGAGCUGGAGGAUAUCCAAUGAAGGAGAUCAUCUUCAAAAAAGCAUGGAGUGGCCUACCUCUAUCUCUACAGAGAAGCAGAUGAGAAGAAAUCUUACCUUCUUUGGAUCAGUAGUGAACUGCUGGAGCUGAAAGCUCAUGAUCAGCUAAAGUUCUAUAAUGGAGCCUUGGAGUUCUUUCAUCUAUCUACCAGGUUGUCUCUCAUGCCUGAAAUGCUUUCCUCCUCAUCUUAGCCUCCUGGCUUCAAUUUGUCCUCCAUCCAGCAACAAUAGUGAUGCUCCUAACACAGAGAUCUAUCCAUAUCAUUCUCCUCUCAAGAAGAUUCAACACUUCCCAGGUUCCUCUAGGAUACAGGGCAAAAUUCCCCUGCUUCAUACUUGAAGCCCAUCAAAAUCUGGUUUAAGCCUAUCUUUCCUGGAGGAUUAUGUUACUCUCCCUCUUCUGUUUCUUGCCUCUAUUUUUUUCUUGUUCAUUUUCGGAAUGUUUUUCCUCUUUAAAACUCAGGUCAAGUGGGAAUAGUCAUUGUUGGAGGGACUGUGAGAAGAUAGGUACAGUAUGGUACAUUUAAAUUAAUGCAGCUAUGAAUUAGUACAACUAUUAUGGAAAAGAAUUUUGAAUUUUGAAAAUAAAGAAACUAAAACAUUAAUACCCUUUGGCUCA